AUGUCCGGAGCUCCUGAUGUCCGAAUGAAAUGAAGAAGGAGGAUAUCCUUAAAUUCCUUGCAGCAGGAACCCACUUAGGUGGCCACCAACUUUGACUUCCAAAUGGAACAGUACAUCUGUAAAAGGAAGAGUGAUAGCAUUUACAUUGUAAAUCUGAAGAGGACCCAAGAGAAGCUUCUGAUUGCAGCUUGGGCCAUUGCUGCCAUUGAAAACCCUGCUGAUGUCAGUGUCAUAUGUUCCAGGAAUACUGGCCAGUGGGUUGUGCUGAAGUUUGCUGUUGCCACUGGAGCCACUCCUAUUGCUGGCCGCUCCACUCCUGGAUCCUUCACCAACCAGAUCCAGGCAGCCUUCUGGGAGUCCUGUCUGCUGGUGGUUACUGAUCCCAGGGCUGACCACCAGCCUCUCACAGAGGCAUCUUAUGUUAACCUGCCCACCAUUACUCUGUGUAACACAGAGUCUCCUCUGCGCUAUGUGGACAUUGCCAUCCCAUGCAACAAGGGAGCUCGCUCAGUGGGUCUGAUGUGGUGGAUGCUGACUCGGAAGUUCUGCACAUGCGUGGCACCAUCUCCCGUGAACACCCGUGGGAGGUUAUGCCUGACUCUACUUCUACAGAGAUCCCGAAGAGAUUGAAAAGGAAGAGAGGCUGCUGCUGAAAAAGCUGUGACCAAGGAAGAAUUUCAGGGUGAAUGGACUGCUGCAGUUCACUGCAGGUGCCCUCUGUGCUAAUUCAGCAGUUUCCUACUGAAGACUGGAGUGCUCAGCCUGCCACGGAAGACUGGUCUGCAGCUGCCACUGCUCAGGCCACUGAAUGGGUAGGGACAACCACUGAGUGGUCUUAAGCUGUUCUUCCACAGGCUCUUAAGCAACAUGGAAAUAAGGUUGGUAGAAAUUAAACAUCAGUUUCU